UCCUCGGGGUGAAACCCGAGCACGGCCCUGCAGGACCUCCCCGUCCCCUCCCCGACCCCGUCCCUUCCCGGGAUGGGUUCCCCCCUGGAACCUCCGGGACCCCCGGGACCCCCAGAUCCCCUGAGCCCCGCCGCCUCCUGAGUGCAGGCUCGCGGCCAGAGCGUGCACUUUCCGGGGCCCCUUGCCGCCUGGCGGGGACUCCCGGCUCCCCACCCGCUGUCCCGCGCUCUACGUGGCUCCGGGGGCGGGAGGGGUGCGCUAUAAAGAGCCGAGGCGCCGGGCCCAGACCCGAGACGUGGCGUCGCCCGGGCAGCCCUGGAGCCAGUGCUUGCGUCUCAGCCCCGUGGCUCUGUGGCUUCCCUGGACCGGAGCAGUGGGGAGGGGCUGACAAGAAUGUCACCUAGGACAGACGGAGAUGCCAGUGUGCAGCACGGGUGGCCUUCCAGGAGGCCUUGGUGUGGGUGGGCUCUAAGAUGUAAUAUGAUUGUAUUAAAAUUAUGAAAACUCUCA